AAAAAGAACCUGAAACCGUGUACGUACAAGCAGUGGGAGCACAGGUUUACCUGUGUGACUGCGUACCUUUUGUAUAAUGGGUCAGCGACUUAUAUUCUGUAGCAAGGUUAACCGUAUAGGGGAGCCGGAGGGAAACCGAGUCUUAAUUGGGCGUUAAGUUGCAGGGUAUAGACCCGAAACCCGGUGAUCUAGCCAUGGGCAGGUUGAAGGUUGGGUAACACUAACUGGAGGACCGAACCGACUAAUGUUGAAAAA
rnacentral:rRNA from 1 species